GUAUAGAAGACUUUCCUAAUGUUGGAAGUUGAAUCAAUUGAUCCAACGUUUUAAGAUGCAAUCCACACUUAGUGAGGUCCUUCCACAUAGUUUCCUGUAGAAAUUCAGUUUCACAAAAGAGGACUGUUAACUUCUGUAUCCAAGUUUGUUUCGGAGUUUUUCUGUGUCUUGCUCCUAGUUUCUUCUACCCAAGGUAAAGAAAAUUCUAUGCCUGAGUAGGGAAGGGGUUUCUCUCUUCUGUUACAGCACUGAAAUAUCUAUAGGGACAACAGGGGAAGUGAAUGACUAUACAAGCAGAUAAGAAAACGGUUAUAGAAGUUUCUGUGAGAGGCGCAAAUAGAAAAAUUAUUUCAAUUUGUUUACAUCUCUUUCUGUUACAGUAAAUUUACAUGUGUCAAGUAAUAAA